rnacentral:tRNA from 1 species
AUUUGAGUAGUUAAAAAAUAACAUUUCAUUUUCAAUGAAAAGUCAGAUAAAUCUCUCUUAAAUA